rnacentral:rRNA from 1 species
CCUACGGGAGGCAGCAGUGAGGAAUAUUGGUCAAUGGGCGUAAGCCUGAACCAGCCAAGUCGCGUGAGGGAUGAAGGUUCUAUGGAUCGUAAACCUCUUUUAUAAGGGAAUAAAGUGUGGGACGUGUCCUAUUUUGUAUGUACCUUAUGAAUAAGGAUCGGCUAACUCCGUGCCAGCAGCCGCGGUAAUACGGAGGAUCCGAGCGUUAUCCGGAUUUAUUGGGUUUAAAGGGUUCGUAGGUGGCCUUUUAAGUCAGCGGUGAAAGUCUGUGGGUCAACCAUAGAAUUGCGGUGGAAACUGGGGGGGUAGAUUACGUUUGAGGCAGGCGGAAGGCGUGGUGUAGCGGUGAAAUGCUUAGAUAUCACGCAGAACCCCGAUUGCGAAGGCAGCCUGCCAAGCCAUGACUGACGCUGAUGCACGAAAGCGUGGGGAUCAAACAGGAUUAGAUACCCUAGUAGUC